GAUGAACGCUGGCGGCGUGCCUAAUACAUGCAAGUCGAGCGAAUGGAUUGAGAGCUUGCUCUUAUGAAGUUAGCGGCGGACGGGUGAGUAACACGUGGGUAACCUGCCCAUAAGACUGGGAUAACUCCGGGAAACCGGGGCUAAUACCGGAUAACAUUUUGAACCGCAUGGUUCGAAAUUGAAAGGCGGCUUCGGCUGUCACUUAUGGAUGGACCCGCGUCGCAUUAGCUAGUUGGUGAGGUAACGGCUCACCAAGGCAACGAUGCGUAGCCGACCUGAGAGGGUGAUCGGCCACACUGGGACUGGGACACGGCCCAGACUCCUACGGGAGGCAGCAGUAGGGAAUCUUCCGCAAUGGACGAAAGUCUGACGGAGCAACGCCGCGUGAGUGAUGAAGGCUUUCGGGUCGUAAAACUCUGUUGUUAGGGAAGAACAAGUGCUAGUCGAAUAAGCUGACACCUUGACGGUACCUAACCAGAAAGCCACGGCUAACUACGUGCCAGCAGCCGCCGUAA
rnacentral:rRNA from 1 species